AACGAACGCUGGCGGCAGGCUUAACACAUGCAAGUCGAACGCAUCCUUCGGGGUGAGUGGCAGACGGGUGAGUAACGCGUGGGAACGUGCCCUUCGGUUCGGAAUAACACAGGGAAACUUGUGCUAAUACCGGAUACGAUCUACGGAUGAAAGAUUUAUCGCCGAGGGAGUAGCCCGCGUAGGAUUAGCUAGUUGGUGAGGUAAUGGCUCACCAAGGCGACGAUCCUUAGCUGGUCUGAGAGGAUGAUCAGCCACACUGGGACUGAGACACGGCCCAGACUCCUACGGGAGGCAGCAGUAGGGAAUCUUCCGCAAUGGACGAAAGUCUGACGGAGCAACGCCGCGUGAGGGAUGACGGCCUUCGGGUUGUAAACCUCUUUUAGUAGGGAAGAAGCGAAAGUGACGGUACCUGCAGAAAAAGCACCGGCUAACUACGUGCCAGCCGCCGCCGUAA
rnacentral:rRNA from 1 species